AGCGAACGCUGGCGGCAGGCCUAACACAUGCAAGUCGAACGAAGUCUUCGGACUUAGUGGCGGACGGGUGAGUAACACGUGGGAACGUACCUUUUGGUUCGGAACAACUCAGGGACACUUGAGCUACUACCGGCUGAGCCCUGAGGGGGAAAGAUUUAUCGCCGAAAGAGCGGCCCGCGUUCGAUUAGCUAGUUGGUGAGGUCAAGGCGCACCAAGGCCACGGUCUUUAGCUGGUCGGAGAUGAUGGACAGCCACACUGGGACUGAGACACGGCCCAGACUCCUACGGGAGGCAGCAGUGGGGAAUCUUGCGGAAUGGGCGAAGGCCUGACGCAGCCAUGCCGCGUGAAUGAUGAAGGUCUUAGGAUUGUAAAAUUCUUUUACCAGAGACGAUAAUGACGGUACCUGGAGAAAAAGCCCCGGCUAACUUCGUGCCAGCCGCCGCGGUAAUAC
rnacentral:rRNA from 1 species